rnacentral:rRNA from 1 species
GUGGGGAAUAUUGCACAAUGGGCGAAAGCCUGAUGCAGCGACGCCGCGUGAGCGAUGAAGUAUUUCGGUACGUAAAGCUCUAUCAGCAGGGAAGAUAAUGACGGUACCUGACUAAGAAGCACCGGCUAAAUACGUGCCAGCAGCCGCGGUAAUACGUAUGGUGCAAGCGUUAUCCGGAUUUACUGGGUGUAAAGGGAGCGUAGGCGGCGUGGUAAGUCAGAAGUGAAAGCCCGGGGCUCAACCCCGGGACUGCUUUUGAAACUAUCAUGCUAGAGUGUCGGAGAGGUAAGUGGAAUUCCUAGUGUAGCGGUGAAAUGCGUAGAUAUUAGGAGGAACACCAGUGGCGAAGGCGGCUUACUGGACGAUAACUGACGCUGAGGCUCGAAAGCGUGGGGAGCAAACAGGAUUAGAAACCCGAGUAGUCC